AGUGAACGCUGGCGGUAGGCCUAAUACAUGCAAGUCGAACGGCAGCACAGUAAGAGCUUGCUCUUACGGGUGGCGAGUGGCGGACGGGUGAGGAAUACAUCGGAAUCUACUUUUUCGUGGGGGAUAACGUAGGGAAACUUACGCUAAUACCGCAUACGACCUACGGGUGAAAGCAGGGGAUCUUCGGACCUUGCGCGAUUGAAUGAGCCGAUGUCGGAUUAGCUAGUUGGCGGGGUAAAGGCCCACCAAGGCGACGAUCCGUAGCUGGUCUGAGAGGAUGAUCAGCCACACUGGAACUGAGACACGGUCCAGACUCCUACGGGAGGCAGCAGUGGGGAAUAUUGGACAAUGGGCGCAAGCCUGAUCCAGCCAUACCGCGUGGGUGAAGAAGGCCUUCGGGUUGUAAAGCCCUUUUGUUGGGAAAGAAAAGCAGCAGGUUAAUACCCCGCUGUUCUGGCGGUACCCAAAGAAUAAGCACCGGCUAACUUCGUG
rnacentral:rRNA from 1 species